rnacentral:tRNA from 1 species
GCCCGCGUAGCUCAGUCGGUAGCAGCGCAUGCAUGGUAAGCAUGAGGUCAUCGGUUCGAUUCCGAUCGCGGGCUCCA